AGUGAGAGGGAAAAGCUCAAAUUUAAAAUCUGGCAGUCUUUGAUUGUCCGAGUUGUAAUUUAGAGAAGUGUUACCCGUGUUGGACCGUGUACAAGUUUCCUGGAAUGGAACGUCAUAGAGGGUGAGAAUCCCGUCUUUGACACGGAUCCCAAUGCAUUGUGGUACACUUUCGAAGAGUCGAGUUGUUUGGGAAUGCAGCUCUAAAUGGGUGGUAAAUUCCAUCUAAAGCUAAAUAUUGGGGAGAGACCGAUAGCGAACAAGUACCGUGAGGGAAAGAUGAAAAGAACUUUGGAAAGAGAGUUAAACAGUACGUGAAAUUGCUAAAAGGGAAACGCUUGAAGUCAGUCGCGUUGUCCAGGGAUCAGCCUUCCUUUUUGGUUGGUGUACUUCCUGGUUGACG
rnacentral:rRNA from 1 species